ACAGAUGCCGGCGUCCUCGUACUGAGUGACGAGCAGAAAGGGAGGCUUGUUACGCCGUCUUGGACAGCCACGGAUGAAUCAACCUCAAUCUCCUGGCGAGAAGACCGGCACAGGUGCCCAUGGACUCUAGACAGUUCUCUGUGUGACUGUUAUUAAUUCAGCUACCCAACAGCACGAGUCGUCGUCUGAUGGGUAGAGCAACAAUCUGUAUCUCUGUGUCUAACUGCGAAUCCGUAUAUCCACGCUUUGUAGCUAACUUCAAAUAAAAAUUGAUCUCAUGGCUUAAAUACUGCCAUUAACUGUGCUUACUGUAAAAAAAGACUGUCUUCAUGUUGUAUUAUUAUUCUUACUCUGUGUACUUCAGUGAGGUACAGCAAAGCUCCACUCCCAACAUUUAUGUAUUUGUUCAUUUCUUGUUCAGUGUUAUGAGCUGACAAUGAUGCAGUGAUUCCAAGAGUGUAACUGUUGAUGGAAUGUUUGAAACACUGCAUGGAGAAGUAAAAUUUUCUUAUCACACCC